GACGAACGCUGGCGGCGUGCCUAAUACAUGCAAGUAGAACGCUGAAGGAGGAGCUUGCUCUUCUGGAUGAGUUGCGAACGGGUGAGUAACGCGUAGGUAACCUGCCUGGUAGCGGGGGAUAACUAUUGGAAACGAUAGCUAAUACCGCAUAAGAGUAGAUGUUGCAUGACAUUUACUUAAAAGGUGCAAUUGCAUCACUACCAGAUGGACCUGCGUUGUAUUAGCUAGUUGGUGGGGUAACGGCUUACCAAGGCGACGAUACAUAGCCGACCUGAGAGGGUGAUCGGCCACACUGGAACUGAGACACGGCCCAGACUCCUACGGGAGGCAGCAGUAGGGAAUCUUCGGCAAUGGACGGAAGUCUGACCGAGCAACGCCGCGUGAGUGAAGAAGGUGUUCGGAUCGUAAAGCUCUGUUGUAAGAGAAGAACGAGUGUGAGAGUGGAAAGUUCACACUGUGACGGUAUCGUACCAGAAAGGGACGGCUAACUACGU
rnacentral:rRNA from 1 species